rnacentral:rRNA from 1 species
UACGGGGGUAGGGCAGUGUUCGGUGAAUUACUGGGCGUAAAGGGCUCGUAGGUGGCCAACUAAGUCGGACGUGAAAUCCCUCAGCUUAACUGGGGAACUGCGUCCGAUACUGGAUGGCUUGAGUUGGGAGAGGGAUGCGGAAUUCCAGGUGUAGCGGUGAAAUGCGUAGAUAUCUGGAGGAACACCGGUGGCGAAGGCGACAUCCUGGACCAACACUGACGCUGAGGAGCGAAAGCCAGGGGAGCAAAGCGGG